rnacentral:rRNA from 1 species
UACGAACUGUGCGAACGUUAUUCGGAAUCACUGGGCUUACAGGGUGCGUAGGCGGCUUGUCAAGUAGGGUGUGAAAGCUCCCGGCUCAACUGGGAGAGGUCCUUGGAUACUGGCGAACUUGAGGGAUGCAGAGGAAAGUGGAAUUCCCGGUGUAGUGGUGAUAUGCGUAGAUAUCGGGAGGAACACCAGUGGCGAAGGCGGCUUUCUGGGCAUUUCCUGACGCUGAGACGCGAAAGCGUGGGGAGCGAACCGG